rnacentral:sRNA from 1 species
AAGUUAUUGGUUGUAGGGAGCGUUUGGGCGUUAACUUGUUGAUUCGUAAUGCCUAUUAGGUUAACUCUCGUCAAUGGUGAUUGAGUCUGGGACUAGUUUAACUUGAGGGUCUCUUUUGCGGUGGCACUUAGAUUUGGUUACCGAACUUGUUAUCUAAGGAUAAUUUAUUGAGCAUGUCAAUCACCUGUAAACUGAGGAAACAAAACUACUCAAUUACCCCAUCCUCGGGAAUUCUUUAUU